rnacentral:rRNA from 1 species
AUACGGGGGGAGCAAGCGUUGUCCGGAAUCACUGGGCGUAAAGGGCGUGUAGGCGGGUUGGUCAGUCAGAUGUGAAAGCCUGCGGCUUAACCGUAGAAAUGCAUUUGAAACUGCCGGCCUCGAGUGCGAGAGAGGGUAGUGGAAUUCCCAGUGUAGCGGUGAAAUGCGUAGAUAUUGGGAAGAACACCAGUAGCGAAGGCGGCUACCUGGCUCGCAACUGACGCUAAUGCGCGAAAGCGUGGGGAGCGAACAGGAUUAGAAACCCCAGUAGUCC